UGGGGAAUUUUGGACAAUGGGCGCAAGCCUGAUCCAGCCAUGCCGCGUGUCUGAAGAAGGCUUUCGGGUUGUAAAGGACUUUUGUCAGGGAAGAAAAGGCUGUUGCUAAUAUCGACAGCUGAUGACGGUACCUGAAGAAUAAGCACCGGCUAACUACGUGCCAGCAGCCGCGGUAAUACGUAGGGUGCGAGCGUUAAUCGGAAUUACUGGGCGUAAAGCGAGCGCAGACGGUUACUUAAGCAGGAUGUGAAAUCCCCGGGCUUAACCUGGGAACUGCGUUCUGAACUGGGUGACUAGAGUGUGUCAGAGGGAGGUAGAAUUCCACGUGUAGCAGUGAAAUGCGUAGAGAUGUGGAGGAAUACCGAUGGCGAAGGCAGCCUCCUGGGAUAACACUGACGUUCAUGCUCGAAAGCGUGGGUAGCAAACA
rnacentral:rRNA from 1 species